rnacentral:rRNA from 1 species
AAUAAACGUUGGCGGCGUGCUUAACACAUGCAAGUCGAGCGAGAAAGGUCCUUCGGGACUGAGUACAGCGGCAAACGGGUGCGUAACACGUAGGAAUCUACCUUUUAGUGGAGAAUACCCUCGAGAAAUCGAGGUUAAUACUGCAUAUGUCUCGCAAGAGAGAAAGAUGGCCUCUUUGCUGUCGCUAAAAGAUGAGCCUGCGGACUAUUAGCUUGUUGGUGGGGUAAAGGCCUACCAAGGCGAUGAUGGAUAGCCGGCCUGAGAGGGUGUACGGCCACACUGGAACUUAGACACGGUCCAG